CGCACUUGGAAACCAAAUCAUUGUAUCUUUGGAAGAAUUAGUAACGAUUUUAAGUAAUAUGUGUAACGAAAUCCAUGUCUAAUAAUUUACAAGUAAUACAAAAAUUACAUUCAUUAAAAAGAAAAAAAGUCACAACAGAUAAGGACAUAGAGAACCAGUUGUGAAAUAUAAACACUGUAAGAUGGUGCAAAAGGAACAUCCCCAC
rnacentral:lncRNA from 1 species